GGAUGAUUUGUUGGACGCUAGCGGCGGAUGGGUGAGUAACACGUGGGCAAUCUGCCCUAAAGACUGGGAUACCACUUGGAAACAGGUGCUAAUACCGGAUAACAACAUGAAUCGCAUGAUUCAAGUUUGAAAGGCGGCGCAAGCUGUCACUUUAGGAUGAGCCCGCGGCGCAUUAGCUAGUUGGUGGGGUAAAGGCCUACCAAGGCAAUGAUGCGUAGCCGAGUUGAGAGACUGAUCGGCCACAUUGGGACUGAGACACGGCCCAAACUCCUACGGGAGGCAGCAGUAGGGAAUCUUCCACAAUGGACGCAAGUCUGAUGGAGCAACGCCGCGUGAGUGAAGAAGGUCUUCGGAUCGUAAAGCUCUGUUGUUGGUGAAGAAGGAUAGAGGCAGUAACUGGUCUUUAUUUGACGGUAAUCAACCAGAAAGUCACGGCUAACUACGUGCCAGCAGCCGCGGUAAUACGUAGGUGGCAAGCGUUGUCCGGAUUUAUUGGGCGUAAAGCGAGCGCAGGCGGAAUGAUAAGUCUGAUGUGAAAGCCCACGGCUCAACCGUGGAACUGCAUCGGAAACUGUCAUUCUUGAGUGCAGAAGAGGAGAGUGGAACUCCAUGUGUAGCGGUGGAAUGCGUAGAUAUAUGGAAGAACACCAGUGGCGAAGGCGGCUCUCUGGUCUGCAACUGACGCUGAGGCUCGAAAGCAUGGGUAGCGAACAGGAUUAGAUACCCUGGUAGUCCAUGCCGUAAACGAUGAGCGCUA
rnacentral:rRNA from 1 species